GGGAGGGGAGAUAAAUAUGACUAAGUCAAAAGCCAGCAAGAACGGGGGUCCUGGCACCCAUCCGCCGCCACCUUCAUGGGAGGCCCCUGAGGCCGGCUCUCAGAGCCCCAGCACAUUCUAGACAGACCCUGUGCCCUGCCCAAGUCCCUAGAAAGACAAAGUCAGCUCCCGCCCCUCCACCAUGCAGGGCAAAGUCGACAGAGGCGUGUCUGCUAUUAGAGAACUUUGGUCACAGCUUGUUACCAGCUUAGACAAGACAACGACUAGGGACAGUGAGCAGACCAUGGAGAGGCAUCUGGGUUCGGAGUUUGAAGAGCACAGGAAAACAGCCUGCUCCUGCGGGGAGAGCUGACACUCACCCCAGAGACGGGGGAGCCCAGCAAAGGUCGCAAGUCAGUAGGCCUCAUGCUCCCCACUUCCGACCUCCCGGUCCCAGGAUCCUCACGCACCCCACCCGCGUCUGCCCACUCUGCCGCCUGUUAAAGACCGGCACUCCUUUCCAAGGGGCCCCAUCCGCCUCUGUCCCGCAGCGGAACCCGAAGCACAGAGCAGUGACGCCAAGCCGGAAAGGCUGCACGCCAGUGGUCCAUCCGGAAGUGUGCCCCCCCAUCGGGUUCCCCGGAGGCGCCGGCGCCCGUCGGCCGCCGCGCACCCACCUGCCGUAGGACGCCUGCAGCCAUGAUCCGUGUGCCGGUGACUGUGUCCGCUCCAGGCGCGGCCUGGUGAAAGACAUUCCGGCCCCGCCCUGCUCACGCCCCCUCCCGCAGAUGGCUGCUUUCUGCGGGCCUCCCUUCAGCCAAACCUUUCUGAGUUAUAGGACCUCGGGGACCCGGGCUCUGCUGCAAGGAACACACGCUGGAACAGUCCAGAAUUGUCAGACACUCGUUCCCUCCUGGCCUCCACCCUGCCCUGCUCCACACUCACGCCUAACAAGGCAUUUGUCUUGGCUUUUGUUUUGCUUUUGUAGUACUUAGGGACUAACCCCAUAGCCUCGUGUAUGUUAGGAACACGAACUAACCACGGAGAUAACAUCUCCGUACCUAAAAAAUAUAUAUAUUUCUCGGUGUAGUAGAGCACGCCUUUAAUCCCAAUACUCUGAAGGCAGAGGCAGGAGCAUUUCUGUGAGUCCAAGGCCAUCCUGGUCCACCUAAUGAGUUCCAAGCCAGCCAGGGCUAUAUAGUGAGUCCCUGUCUCAACACAAAACAAAUGGGAUUGGAAAGAGGCCUCAGGUGUUAAAAACACUUGACUGCUCUUCCAGAGGACCGAGUUUGGUUCCUAGUACCCACAUAGUGGCUCACAACUGUCUGUAACUCCACAGGCACUAGGCACACACUUACAAACACACAGGCAAUACACUCAUACAGAUAAAAUAAAUUAGCAUACCAAAGCUCAGGCUGGCAGCCAGGUUCACUCAGUACCUGUGGCUCCUCUCUGCUUGUCCCUAACCUAAACCUCUCCAAGCCCUGGAAUGUAGCUUCCCUCUCCCAAAUAACAAAACAAAAAAGCAUCUUCUGAGGGACUUCAUCAGUGGCCAAGUUGUCCGCGCAAGCAUCAGAGAGCUCCUUUUGUCACCAAUACUUUGAUAAAAAGGAAAAGCUCAGUAGAAAUAUCAGUGGGUGCAGAGAAAGGCCAUUUGAAGCCCGGCCUGGUGGCACUUUCUUGCAAUCCCAACACUCUGAAAGCUGAGGCAGGGGAUUUACUCCAAAGUGAGAGCAUCCUAGGUGAGAGAGCUAGUCUCUUGUCUCAAAUGAAACAAAAGAGUAGGACUCUGGGGAUAAAAGACUCCAGUCUGCACAAGGAGAUAACAUGUUCUUUGUAAUUACAAGACACACACACACACACACUCUCUCUCUCUCUCUCUCUCUCACACACACACACACACACACACACACACACAGUUCAUGAUUCACUGUGCUUCCUUCCAGUCUCCUUAGAGAAAAAAGGUCAAAAGCUCUCACACACCAACUCAUUACAGAACCUCAUUAGCCUACAGCUUAGGGUGCGCGAGCGACACCCCUUCAUCCACAGCUCCCCAACUUCAGGGUCUCAGAGGUGGUUAGCCAAUUCAUGCAUCAGGCCCACUCUGCUGCCAGCAUCAUUUAAAAACAUAAUCACACAUACACAUAAUACAUUUACACAGGGUCUCACUCUGUACUCUAGGCAGGCUUCAAGCUUGCCAUCCUCCUGCCUCAACUUCACAAGUAGAGGGAUUACAGUGUUGUCUAGCCCAGCUGCACCCUGCAAUUCAAACCUGUGGCACUGUCCUUCCAUAUUGUGUUUCGUGGUCACCGUGCCACAAGUUUUUUCCCAAUCCCCAGUCACAUACACACACUCACACACAUCCACAUUCUUAUACACACGUGCGCGCGCGCGCACACACACACACACACACAAUGCACAGGUUAAGUCUCUAGGUCUAUGUAAUUCUGCAGCAGGUUCUCAGACUCUACGGCUACAAUUACUCCCAAAUCCCAAUGCAGAAUACUGUUCCUCCCACUGCUCCAGGCCACAGCAACCAAACCACACACCCUCCCCCGCAGACCUUGCCUAUGCCGCCCUCCCGCCUCCCCCAAUCUCCGGCUUUCUACAGCUAAACCCUCCCUCCUCCCGUGCCAUCUCCAAACUGCCGAGCCGAACCCACACCAGCAACCGCCCCCGCGGCAGCCAAUCAGCGAUUGCCGCACACCCCUGCCUUCGCCAAUCCACAGCAGCCUUGCAGCUCCACCCCUUACCUGGGGUGUGGGGAAGCUGCUUGCUGCGCCCCGCGCCCAACCUGGGGAGUGUCCAGGGCUUGUUCUUUCCCCAGAGCACCCCCGCAACGUCCUUCAGCCCCAAACCCAGUACUACAAGUCCCAGCCUCCUCCCUCUGACCCACAUGUCUCAAGAUUGUUCCUCCAGCCAGCUCACUAUCGCACUGGCAAAGAGCGCAAAACUCCUCCCCCUAAGGGCCAAGAACAAAGGCAGGCGCCCUAGUGCCUUCUUCAUUAUCUGCCAAUUACCACUUAAUCUGCUCUCCCCGGCGGGCCUUUUAAUUAGCACCCCGGUGAAGCGGAACUGCGCUCCCUGGCGACAGAAGUUACCCCCUCUCGAGCCUGCUAAGAGGUCUCGGGAGAUGUAGUUCCUGACUUUGAAGUCAGGGUGCCCACGUGGUCUAAAGGUAGCUAGGAAGGAGGCAAUGCUCGUGUGGACAGUCUUGUGUAAAGAACAGGAAAUAAAUAUGGCAUUUCCUUUCUGGA